UUUUAUUAUUUAUUUUAGCGCCUUUGUUUAUAAACAUGAACAAACACGUCGACCGCUUUAGAAACCCGCACUAUUUCAACAUCGUUAAGGAUCUUUGGAAUAAAAUGUCCCACGAAGAAAAAAAGUGUUAAAAGCGUUGGCUUAUUUUAUAGUAUUGUAGAAUGUAACGAAAAUUCUAUUUUAUUGUUAUAGUGUUGUAGAACGAAAAUGUUGAAUUUUAAAGUUCUUAUUUAAACACUUGUUUUUUGUCAAGACCGUCAAAAAGGACCCCUGAAUAUUGGAAAGUUAAAAAAGUAGUUUGAAGUUGCUAGGAAAUAAAAGACAUUCUGUAAUGUUUUCCUGGUGCCAAUAAAAACAUGUUUUCAUAAUGAGAUAGUUGUGUAGCUGUUCUAAUAACAAAAACUGUGUGGGCAGCCUGAUUUCUUAUGGUAUAUAUCAUAAUCAAACUGGUUUAUAUUUUGAUCUGAAUUUUUUUUUCGGUAUAUUAAAAAAAAAAACAUUACAGAACCAUAGACAAACUGAAGUUAGUUAGGAAUUACUAAAAACAUCACCUAAAAUGGAGAGAGACUAUCAUACUAAAAAAUUACUUUAAAUGAUUUUAAUUUUAAUGGUAGUUGUUUUAUUUUUAUUGUCAUCUCACCAUAAUGUUUCAUUGUGAUUAUAAUCAUUGUAUAUGUGAUGGUGAUAAUCUUUAUUUAUUAAAAUUGUCCUUACCACUAAGCAUUUUAACCGAUGAACCAGUGAAAGAUGGUAGGUAUCCAUCAAAAGAUCAUCUGAUAAGCGAAAAACAAAAUUCUUCAUUUGAGUAAAACAAGACUUUAUUUGGCAAUUUGAAGUUGCUGUAUUCAGUGGAUUUGUUGAAAGCUCAUCAGAAAGUUCUAUAUCUGUGUCAACCUGUGGCGCUGCAUAGGCAACAAGAAUAGCCACACCUGCAACACGAUCUGAUAGCAAUAUAUGUGGGAUCACACUCUCUAUUUUCUGAAACCAUCUGUGGUCACUUCAAUUGCAGGAUAUUUGAUCACCUAUGGAAUCAAUUUGAGUUAAUUGGAAAUAAGCAAGUUGUGCUGAUGUAGGAGUCACUACAAACUCUAUAUGUAUAUGGUUGGCUAUAAUAUGGAAAGUUUAAAAAGUUCAAAACCACAAAGUAUAAAGUAUAAAUAUGGAAUCUGGAAGCACUGAAAAAGCAUUGUAUUGAAUGUGGAUACUAUGUGGAGAGAAAAAAUACUCUAAGUGUAAAUGUUUUUUUUAUAUAUAUAUAAAAAUGUAAUAAUAAUAUUUAUAUUUUAAUAAAAAGUUAAAGAGUUCGUUUAAUUUUUUUAAACUAAUUUAUAUUAUAUUAUAUUAAUAAUGUUUUUAUUGUUAUUUUUAAAUUGAUACCUUUGCUCGUGGUCUACCAUUCGUUGAAUUUAUUUAUGGUCCGUUAUCAAGAACUUAAGAUACGAUCAUAAUGUUAAUAGACCACUGGUGUUGAUUCAAAGGUAUAUGUUUGACUAUAAUCAAAAGAAUGCGAGAAAAAAUGCAAAA